ACAUUAUUUGUUGGUCAUUGUGCUGCAGUGGAAGAACAUUGUUCAUGUGCUGUCUGUCUGGCUUUAAUAACUCCAAAGACAUGUUGCUGCACCUCUUUUUGCUUCUAUCUCACAUUAUAGGACUCACAGCUGGAGACUCAAUCACUCCUGAACGAACUGAAGUCACUGAAACAGAAGGAGAACCUGUCACACUCACAUGUAACUAUGAGACAACUUCAAGUUAUCCUUGGCUUUAUUGGUACGGACAUCAUUCUGACCUUCAGGCUCCUCAGUUUAUACUCAGGAAAGUUGGAAAAGGUGGCAGUGGUGAAUAUAUUCCUGAUAAACGAUAUGGAUCCCAAACAUCUUCUACAUCAACUGAUCUGACCAUAACAGCCCUAACCCUGGCAGACACAGCUCUCUACUACUGUGCUCUAGAAACACAGUGAUACAAAGUGUAGAAGAGGCUGUACAAAAACCUGAACACAGAUAUCUGACUACUCUUCAAAGAGGAGGGAAGUGGUAUUCAAAGCACAGCUUCAUAUCAGAUGGAUUCUGCUAAUUCCUGUUUUAUCAGAGUCACUGUGGUUACAGCUGCUAAUGAAACACUGUGGGAGGAUUCACAUGAGCAGCAAAUCCACAUCAACCACAAACCAACUGUAGGAACGUUCAGACACAAUAAAAACUGUCAAACAUCAAAA